CCUAAGUAAACUUUUCAAAAAACUUCCCCCAGAAUUAGGUUCUAUAGACUCCCCGUGCCCUGAAACGUGCUCCUAACACAAUUCUGGAAGGUGAAAAAUUGGGUUGGCACUUACAAAAUUUUUCAAUUUUUAUUUCCCAUGCAUUCCUAUGGGAAAAAAUCAAAUUUUUUUAGGAACGUCCUAGAGACUCGGGAGUUGGUUCAUUGCACUCAGAAAAAUCCUAGCUCCAAGCCCAACCCUAACCCUAGCUCCAACACUAACCCUAACUCCAACUCCAACCCUAACCCUAACCCUAGCCCCAACCCUAACCCUAACCCUAGCUCUAACCCUAACCCUAACCCUAGCUCCAACCCUAACCCUAACCCUAACCCUAACCCUAGCUCCAACCUUAACCCUAACCCUAACCCUAGCUCCAACCCUAACCCUAACCCAAACCCUAAGUAAACUUUUAAAAAAACUUCCCCCAGAAUUAGGUUCUAUAGACUCCCCGUGCCCUGAAACGUGCUCCUAACACAAUUCUGGAAGGUGAAAAAUUGGGUUGGCACUUACAAAAUUUUUCAUUUUUUUUUUUCCCAUGCAUUCCUAUGGGAAAAAAUCAAAUUUUUUUAGGAACGUCCUAGAGACUCCGGAGUUGGUUCAUUGCACUCAGAAAAAUCCUAGCUCCAAGCCCAACCCUAACC